CCCGGUUACUGAGUCGCCGCCAGACCUACGUAGACGAUCGUAAUUCACAACACAAGUGUCACUGGUGCCGCAGACUGCUGUAAACUGCACGUAUCGUGAAGACACCUGUACGUAAGCUAUCAUGGCGGCCAAGAGUGAAACUGUUAAGGUCACCAUUAAUGAAGACACCACCACUUUUCGUGUACCUCUUCGGUGUCAGCGGUGUGCGUGCUACAGGGAUGACCAAGAUCGUAUGACCUUAGAGGACAGUUUGUGCCUCCUCGUCACUGAUCAAGGAAUAACUCAAUAUCAUUACCAUGACGGCCCGCCUGUGCUCCUUGCCAUCUUCUCCUGCCUCUGCAUUUUCUUUGUGAAAGAAAUGGAGGAAACGCAUGAUAAGCUCUCAUGUGUCAUCAUGUUUAUUUUAGUUUCUGCUGGCAUUUAUGUCAUAAUGACGAUGGCAUUACUGCUCCUGACGCGUUGUUAUGGCACUAUAGCUAUAGAAAAAUAUUCAAAGGAUAAGGAUUAUGAACGCUUUGCUGGAGAGAUAAGGGAGGAAAGUAAACCUCUGCUUUAUUUUUUUUUUUUUUUUGCACUGGUCGCCGUUGCCCAGUGGUGAGUGUAGCCACUCUCAUUGCUGAGGUCCAGGUAAUAAACCCUAGAGAUUAACAUAACAUUUAAAUGUUUUCUUCAUGGUUUGUGCUGUAUUUAAAGUUGCCUGUACCAUUGUGUAGAGUUUGUAAGUGUUAUUGUAUAACCCAGGCCACUGCGAGAGUAAGCUAAGUAAAAGGACACUCUUGCAACUAAUGUGACAUGUGUAUCCUUUUACUUAACAUAUCGGUAAUUCUAUCAGUAUUAAUACAAGAGUAGGCUAAUUUGCAAAUAACGUCAAACAAUUAAGAGUUAGUCUGAUCCUCAAAAUGAAUGCAAUCAAAAUAAUAAUGUAUUUGACAUAAGUGUGAUAGAUUUAAUUAUAGAUCUGCGUGGUGGAAUUAUUUUUCACUGGUUUCUCUCACCAUUCCCCUCUCUAGGGAAAAGUACCUGACCCCAAGGUCACAGUGACAGUUGACUCCUCACUAGUGGAAGAGAAAGGAAGGGGAAGAGGUUGCUUAGCCAAUUCUCCCAUCUUAGGAGAAACUGUGAUAUACCAGAACAUCAUUUUUUUGACAUAUCUAGGUCUUCAAUUACUUGAUGUUGAGACAGGAGUUCUCGACCCAUUGGGUCAAAGGACCAAAUGGGUUAAAACAUUCAAGUGCAUUGGACAUUCUCCCAUGUCCAGAACACUUGAUCAGUGUUCAUUUUUGACAUCCUUGGCAAUUCAGCCUAGAGCCCCCAGGCAGUGAUUCCGAAAGCCAAUGGCGGCAGUCUUUCAUAAAGGGACAUCAAGUCCUAUCAAUUAGUGAUGGACGCCUACCUUGGAAGCAAGGAAGACUUAUCUAAGUGAUCUGUGAAUGUCUGGAACAAUGCUGGAUUCACAGUCAAGUUUAAUGAAGGUGACCUAGCCCGGUGGCCUGGUGGCUAAAGCUCCCGCUUCACACACGGAGGGCCCGGGUUCGAUUCCCGGCGGGUGGAAACAUUCCGACACGUUUCCUUACACCUGUUGUCCUGUUCACCUAGCAGCAAAUAGGUACCUAGGUGUUAGUCGACUGGUGUGGGUCGCAUCCUGGGGGACAAGAUUAAGGACCCCAAUGGAAAUAAGUUAGACAGUCCUCGAUGACGCACUGACUUUCUUGGGUUAUCCUGGGUGGCUAACCCUCCGGGGUUAAAAAUCCGAACGAAAUCUUAUCUUACCUUGUGGCCUUACCAGUUCGUGGUGUGAAUGUUAUCCACAAGGAUCUGGAAUGUUUGAAACAU